AAUCAUCACUUGAAUCUGUAUUUUAGGCUUUUUUUAGAAAACUAUAUGUGGAUAAGAGAAGAAGAAAAUAGGAGCUGCGCCUGACUUCCUUCCCCGGCCACAGUACGUGCAGCAGUGAGUGGGAGGAGAUGUGGAAAACGAGGCUGGACAGAUCCUGGUGCCUCCCAUCAAUAUUUCCUGAGAACCUGUUGAAAAUGUGGGUGGGGGGGUGGUCUGUGACGUGCACGUUACUGAUGGAGCACAUGAAAUGCCUGUGUACCUCGCCAGGGCAGCAGAACACCUGCUUUCCUUUCUCCUUACCUUGUCAAAUUGAGCCUCUGCUUCAUCAGUAUCUUCUGGGGAGACUGGGAGAAGCAUCUUGCUGAGCCACAGGGUACGUGGGUAGGAAGGACAGUAGAAUGAAUCAGCCAUUAUGACCCUCUGUACAUAGAUAACGAUACGACCAGUGGGAUUCUGCAUCCGGUAUAACCAGAAGAAUGAUGAGAAAUGAUACUUCAUUUUAUGUGAUGUGUCAAAGUGCAUUUGACUGUCAUGUCUAACUAAUUAAAACAAAUAGGGAAAGAUUUAAGAAAAAAGAGUUAGCAUUUACAGGUGAAAUGAAAGCUCCUGUGGGGUUAUCCUGCAGGGAAGGCAGAUAUGAUUGUUCAUGUAGAAGUGAGCAUUAAAUGAGGAUCACACAUUUUCAAAUGGAGAUAAGGGGACCGGUUAACGGUGGCUUUGGAAGUAAGUGAGACGUGGCUGCACCUCAGAGCCCAAUGUGAGACUGGAAAUUGACCUUCUGGCUGCUCUUCUAUGGACUUCAGUCUCCAGUUGGUCCAUGGUCCCUUUUGUCCCCUAGGUGAGAACCUGGACAUCCACCAGUUCACCUGUGAAACCCCUGGAGUUGAGUUUUAUCUGCACUGUGAAUAAAAAGAAUGUUAGAAUUUCAAGUCCCAAAUAUUGAGAAUAUUUAGGGAACACAUUUCUGUCUGUGACAGAGUGUCCAAUAGAGCAAGCACGUGGUUUUGGAUCUCUGGAGAGCUUCAUUACCUGGUGGUAUGCAGAAGAUAAAUCAUAACGGUUGAUUUGUUGUGAAUGAUUCUCCCAACUAUGACAUUCUGGGAAAGGCAACAGUUUGGAGAGAACAAAAAGUUGAAUGGUUGCCAACAAUUAGUAAGAAGGGCAUGCAGGGGAGUCUCCGGGCAGUGAAAAUAUUCUCUAUGAUAUUAUAAUGCAGGGUAUAUGUCAUUCCCAUUCCAAGUCCAUUAAAUUUAUAUCAUGAAGAGUGAGCACCACUGUGAACUGUGGUGGGUGAGAAUAACGUGGGCAAGAUGGGACAUCAUGGGCACCCUCUGUUCUUUCCACUUAGUUUGGCUGUGAGUCUAAAAGUGUUCUAAAAGGAUAAACUUUAAUAAUUUCUUAAAAGUCCGAAAAGUUUCCUAUAAGAUAAGAAGCCCAAACAGCCUUAGCAUGAUUUCAGACUUAUGGAUUAACGUUGAUGUGUAAAAUCUCUGUUGAAAAAUAGAGCAAACAGCGGAACGAUGAUGUGUGUCCAUUUUUAACAUUUCUUUGAAAGAGACAGAGCAAGGAAAGAAAGGAAAAGAAAAUGAGAAAUGAUAGAAUGAGAGGGAGAGAGAGGAUGUGUCGAAUUGAUUGGCCCUAUGUUUGGGUUCCCUGAAUUUGGCAAAUGCCUCAACUUGGGAUCUUUUGUAUGCUGGUGACAAUGUGGGUGACAGAGAGUUGAGCCACUUUCUUUAUCCACAGUGACAGGUCCAGUUACUCUCUGAAACUUGGCCCCAGAUCAAAAGUCUAGGGUCUCUUAAGAAACCGGAGUGCGCUUGUUUUGCAGCUGAUGAGGUUUGUUCCUUCUUUGGGGUGUGACAUUCCUGUAUCUGUGUCUCCCUUCUAGGAACCUCUCCUGAUACCUUUUCCUCUAGUUUGG
rnacentral:lncRNA from 1 species